rnacentral:rRNA from 1 species
AUUGAACGCUGGCGGCAGGCCUAACACAUGCAAGUCGAGCAAGCGGCGGACGGGUGAGAAAUGUCUGGGAAAAUGCCUGAUGGAGGGGGAUAAAGACUGUCAACGGUAGCUAAACCCGCAUACAAUCAGAUUUGCCAAGAUGUGAGUAGCUAUUAGGUGGGGUAACGGCUCAACGAGGCUACGAUCCCUAGAUGUUCUGAGAGUAUGACCCGCAACACUGGACCUGAAACACGGUCCAGAUUCCGACGGGAGGCAGAAGUGGGGAAUAGUGCACAAUGGGAGCAAGCCUGAUGCAGCACUGCCGCGUGUGUGAAGAAGGCCUUCGGGUUGUAAAGCACUUUCAGCGGGGAGGCGUUACCCGCAGAAUAAGCACCGGCUAACUCCGUGCCAGCAGCCGCGGUAAUUC